UAUGGAUAUUGUCGAAUGGUAAAAUUUCUCUUGGCCAAGUAGACGACGCGGGUUUGAUUCCCGCUAUCCACCC